rnacentral:rRNA from 1 species
GAUGAACGCUGGCGGCGUGCCUAAUACAUGCAAGUCGAGCGAACAGACGAGGAGCUUGCUCCUCUGACGUUAGCGGCGGACGGGUGAGUAACACGUGGAUAACCUACCUAUAAGACUGGGAUAACUUCGGGAAACCGGAGCUAAUACCGGAUAAUAUAUUGAACCGCAUGGUUCAAUAGUGAAAGACGGUUUUGCUGUCACUUAUAGAUGGAUCCGCGCCGCAUUAGCUAGUUGGUAAGGUAACGGCUUACCAAGGCGACGAUGCGUAGCCGACCUGAGAGGGGGGUCGGCCACACUGGAACUGAGACACGGUCCAGACUCCUACGGGAGGCAGCAGUAGGGAAUCUGCCGCAAUGGGCGAAAGCCUGACGGAGCAACGCCGCGUGAGUGAUGAAGGUCUUCGGAUCGUAAAACUCUGUUAUUAGGGAAGAACAAAUGUGUAAGUAACUAUGCACGUCUUGACGGUACCUAAUCAGAAAGCCACGGCUAACUACGUG